rnacentral:rRNA from 1 species
CAGCCGCCGCGGGAAUACGUAGGGUGCAAGCGUUAAUCGGAAUUACUGGGCGUAAAGCGUGCGCAGGCAGUUCUAUAAGACAGAUGUGAAAUCCCCGGGCUCAACCUGGGAACUGCAUUUGUGACUGUAGAGCUGGAGUGCGGCAGAGGGGGAUGGAAUUCCGCGUGUAGCAGUGAAAUGCGUAGAUAUGCGGAGGAACACCGAUGGCGAAGGCAAUCCCCUGGGCCUGCACUGACGCUCAUGCACGAAAGCGUGGGUAGCAAACAGGAUUAGAUACCCGCGUAGUCCUGUCUCUUAUACA